rnacentral:lncRNA from 1 species
CGAGUAUGCAUAAACAGCUUGAUUUAAAUACAAGCCAAAUACAAUUAAUUUCUGUUAACCAUUUAUAAUUGUGGCUUAUUAUUACAUCUUGAAAGGACUGGAUAUCUGAGCACUGUCUGACAUUACUUUUGACUUCACUGGAGGUAACCUAGAAGGAGAGAGAUGUCUCAGCAGUUUCUUUAUCAAUCGCCACCUUUGGAUUUAGCCUUCUGUGGUCAUUUUGAAUAGCAAGCAUCUGAGACAGCAAAGGUGGGCGCAACUGCCAAAACCACAACCCACGGUCAAAAGGAUCGUCAUCCAUUUGGGGGUGCUCUACGUGUAUGAAGUUAUUUAAUACUUAUAACAACUUUAUGAGAUGGAAUGAUCCAUUUUACCUGCAGAGAGUGCAAGGAUCAAGGAAAGGUUUGCGGCACUCUUGAAUUGAGCAAGAUCAUCAACACCAUUUUACUAACAGCAUGUGCUUACUUGGUGUCUCUGUGUCAUAUUUUAGUAAUUCUUGCAAUAUUUCAAACUUUUUCUAUAUUAUUGUAUCUGCUAUAGUUAUUUGUGAUAAGUGGCCUUCGAUGUUACUAUUGUAAUUGUUUUGUGGCAUCUCAAACUGUAUCCCUAAAAGAUGGCAAAUUUAAUCAAUAAAUGUGUGUCUUCUGACUGCUCUACCAACCAGCCAUUAUUCAAUCUCUUUCCCUGCCUUCAGGCCUCCCUAUUCUCUGUAUUGAAAUUAGGCCUCUAAGUGUUCAAGUGCAAGGAAGAGUCACACAGCUCUCACUUUAAAUCAACCUUGUCCAACCCACAGCCUGUGGGCUGCAUGCAGCCC